UGAGCUGGUCGGGCGGCCGCGUCGGGCUUCGGCCCGCCGAGGAACGUCCGGGCUCCGAAGGGCAAGGUGGUGGGUAACGCCCACCCGGGGUGACCCGCGGGACAGUGCCACAGAGAACAGACCGCCGUCGAGGCCUUCGGGCCACGGCGGCAAGGGUGAAACGGUGGUGUAAGAGACCACCAGCGCACCGGGUGACCGGUGCGGCUCGGUAAACCCCACCUGGAGCUAGGUCGAACAGGGAGCGUUCGAGGGCGGCCCGCCCGAGCUCCCGGGUAGACCGCUCGAGGCG
rnacentral:RNase_P_RNA from 1 species